UCUCUCUCCUUCUCCCUCUCCCUCUGUCUCUGUCUCUCUCCCUUUCCCUCUCCCUCUCUCCUUUAAUAAAUGUUUAGCUUUAUGCCUAAUUUCUGUGUCUAUGUGCCUUUUACCCGCUGCAUGUCCACACCCACCACAAGCUGUCUCUCCUGCUCGCCACAUGGCGGGACCAGCUCGCCCGCUUGGGACCCACCACGACCCACCCGGGGAUCUUGGGCGACCCGCUCUGGGACCGGCAGCCAUCUCUGCCUUGGGACUGGCUGCUCACAGAGUCCUCUGCCUGCCUACAGCUGCAGCCUGGGACUUCAUAGCAUUUAGAAAAAGAAUAACAACUGGUAAUGGAACCCAGGGCUUCAUCUCUGUCAGGUAAGCACUCCACCAACUGAGCCACCUUUCCAAUGUUUCCCCCAUCUUUCCAUUUUGUCCUAUCUUGCUUUUAAAAUCUAUUAGUAAUUAGAGGCAGGUGUGUAAUUAUAUAAACAAGGCUGAUUUUGAACUCCUCAUCUCUGCUUCUUCCACCUUCAUGGGCUGGCAUCACAAGUUUGCCGCUAUACCUGUCAAUGUGUCUUAUCCAAAGGAUUCUGUCCUGAAAGAGGAGACAUUUUAGGUCCGUUCUUCACGCUUGUAGGUGGAGAAGAGAGUGAGCAUAAAGAUGACCAGUUUCAUUAUGUCACAAUUCUUGGUCCUCUGCCAGCAAGGGAUGGAUAUCAGAUGAGGAGAAUGAGGGAUGAUCAAUCAAGCUCUUAUUAGUUCCUCACCCUGAGAAACCUGACGAUCUUGGGUGGGAACAUCAAAUGUGGUUACUAUUGAACCGAGCAGCUGUUGCAGCGUCAGCUCUUGGUGUUGAAGUAGAUGUUUUAAGGAAGAGAGCAUGGUCAUGAAACUACAGAUAAUGAAAGAAUAAAAAGGUUUGUGAUUCCA